ACCUCAGAUCAAAUUGCUCAAAAUUGAUGACAUCAUGUUAAAUUAAACACAGGUUAUGCGGAUUCCUAACCUCUCCAUAGUUACUAAACUUGAUUGUAUUCCUAACCUAAAAAUCACAGAAACCUUAACCUUAAUUCAGCUCCAACCCUUGCAAGAACCUUAAUCGUUUGUUUCGCUUAGCCGCCGCAUCCCUAUAUUAUUUGUACGAACAACAAAGAGUGGAAGAUCAAGGCAGGAUUUUGGUAAAUAGAAGCACAAAUGAAAGAUUAAGGUUGGAUCUAGAAAAAUCGAAAGUAAAAAUAUUUUGUAUAUAGUCGUACCCUUAUGUCCUCUCUAUAAACUAAUAUUCAUCGAGUAUAAAAUAUAAAUAUGUUGAGACUCUAUGCAAGAUAUUCAGAGUCACAAUCAGCACGAACACAAUAGCUUUUUACUUCUCGACUUCAAGGUACUUCAUUUUUGGUUCUUCUUGUAUCUUACACAAAUACACUUCUGGCUUCGUAAUUGGUGCUAGGAACUUCCAUCAUUUUAUAUGAUGUUAUACUGAAAUCAUCAGCAAGUAAAAGUAAAAAAAAUUAAACUUUUUUCCCCUUGCCGAAAAGUAUGGAGAAGUUACCAAAACUUGUGGAGGAUUUUGUCCAAACCAAUCCUAGAACCCCUCCCUGCGCCUCUAUAUUUGAUUCUUGCGUGUCAACGAUAUUCGCAUCUGGUUCUAUGUUCUCGAUGGUUUGUGUAAAUUAAAUCUUAUAUUUUUUUUGUCAUUAUGAUAUUCUAAGUAUAUAUUUAAUCUUGCACAUAAGGUGUUUGAUGUAUUGUCUCACCGAGUUAUUUGUUUAAGUUUUGUUGUUUGAAACAAAGAUAUUAAUGGCUAAAUGAAGUCGCUUGUGAAGGUUCAUAAAACUUUUUCUAUGUUUCGGUAAGUGUGACUAAAGUUUUACACAAUGGCAUCAUGCUCUGGUCUAUGAUGUUGGUAACUAAUUGAAGCUUGGGGAUGGGUUAAUUUUAGAGAUUUAGGUAUUGAGUUCCAUCUUCAUGGAUCUGAUAGAUGAUUUUGACUAAUAAAUGAAUUCAUGGAUUAAUCCAAGUACUAUCAUGUGAUACUACAGUUAUGAUUAUAUUUGAUUUUUAUUAUUUGGAGUUUCUUAUCUUAUACAUUAUGAAUGCCUAACAAAACUAACUUGGUUUCUUUUUGUUAGCCUAAUUAUGUUGUCAGAAAACUUUUAGUGGAAAUUAGAUAGGAAGAUAUAGUGGUUAUGUUGGUCUCCUAUACAACAGGUAAUGUUUCAAUUGGCUUUGUAUAUCUUGAAUCCCUGCUAUAACAACUUGCAUUGCCAUUGGUGGCUUGAUUUUAAUUGCAAAAAAACAUUGGAAAAGUGAUAAAAAGAUUUUUCCAUAUGGAUAAGAAAACUUUUUUUUCGUUGAUUCAUCUCAAGUUACAAAAUUCAGUUGAAUACACAUUUCGCCAGCUGUGUAUUUUGUUAAAAAAUAUGCUAAUUUUUGGAAAAGUAUUAUAUCAUAUGGAAACCACAUUACAUUUUACUUUCUUGUCAAUCAUUUAGGAAAAAGUGAUAAAAGAUUAUGUCAAUGCGAUAAGAUAGAAGUCAACAAGAUGAAUUGAUGGUAGAAGGGCAGACAAUUAAUAUUUCAAGGAUGAGUGUGGAAGUGCCUCUUCAGCGAAAGGGAAGGAGCUGACGCGGUAGUGGCAUAUCAAACACACGCUCUUUGUUUUCCGCACUACGAGAUAUUCUGGGAUGUGUACUCUGACAUUAUGGUUGUUUUUAUGUUUUGGUUUCGGACACAAAAUAUGUUUUAUGGGAUGAUAUGAUCGGAUGAUGUUUUACUAUAAAUAUUUUACAAACCACUUAUUUUAAAUAAAAAUUUUGGGCGUGAAAAUUGGG